rnacentral:rRNA from 1 species
GGACUACACGGGUUUCUAAUCCUGUUUGCUACCCACGCUUUCGUGUCUCAGCGUCAGUCGUGGUCCAGUAAGCUGUCUACACCGCAGGUGUUCCUCCUGAUAUCUACGCAUUUCACCGCUACACCAGGAAUUCCGCUUACCUCUCCCACACUCUAGCAUUCCAGUUUCUAGCGCACCCUCCCAGUUGAGCCGGGAGAUUUCACACCAGACUUAGAACACCGCCUACACACUCUUUACGCCCAGUAAUUCCGAACAACGCUCGCUGCCUACGUAUUACCGCGGCGGCUGGCAC